ACGGAAGGCAGCAGUGGGGAAUAUUGCACAAUGGGCGAAAGCCUGAUGCAGCGACGCCGCGUGAGUGAAGAAGUAUUUCGGUAUGUAAAGCUCUAUCAGCAGGGAAGAAAAAUGACGGUACCUGACUAAGAAGCACCGGCUAAAUACGUGCCAGCAGCCGCGGUAAUACGUAUGGUGCAAGCGUUAUCCGGAUUUACUGGGUGUAAAGGGUGCGUAGGUGGUAUGGCAAGUCAGAAGUGAAAUGCGGGGGCUCAACCCCUGAACUGCUUUUGAAACUGUCAAACUAGAGUGCAGGAGAGGAAAGCGGAAUUCCUAGUGUAGCGGUGAAAUGCGUAGAUAUUAGGAGGAACACCAGUGGCGAAGGCGGCUUUCUGGACUGUAACUGACACUGAGGCACGAAAGCGUGGGGAGCAAACAGGAUUAGAUACUCUGGUA
rnacentral:rRNA from 1 species